AUUGAACGCUGGCGGCAGGCCUAACACAUGCAAGUCGAGCGAGUGGCGGACGGGUGAGUAAUGUCUGGGAAACUGCCUGAUGGAGGGGGAUAACUACUGGAAACGGUAGCUAAUACCGCAUACCAUCGGAUGUGCCCAGAUGGGAUUAGCUAGUAGGUGGGGUAAAGGCUCACCUAGGCGACGAUCCCUAGCUGGUCGGAGAGGAGGACCAGCCACACGGGAACUGGGACACGGUCCAGAGUCCGACGGGAGGCAGCAGGGGGGAAUAUGGCACAAUGGGGGGAAGUCUGAUGCAGCCAUGCCGCGUGUAUGAAGAAGGCCUUCGGGUUGGAAAGUACUUUCAGCGGGGAGGCGUUACCGGCAGAAGAAGCACCGGCUAACUCCGUGCCAGCAGCCGCGGUAAUUC
rnacentral:rRNA from 1 species